rnacentral:lncRNA from 10 species
AAGGGAAGGAGGCUUUACAGAGCACAUACAGGGCAGACUGCUCUGCCUCCCAAAGGGAGGCAAUUUAAACAUGUCCCAUUCUGUUUUGUAUCGGUUGGAAGCGCUGAUAAAAGGUUUACUAGCAUGCACUUGAAGAUGGAGUUCAGAUAUCCAGGACGCUCCAGGCUUUGACCCGCGAUGGUGCCGCCUGUCAACAAAACCCAACCAGUAGCCGGAGGACACUGGAACCGUUCUAAUGAUUUCAUACUGAAAGAGAAAAAAUAAGUCACAAGACCAGUGAUCUCCAUGGCUGGAUUGGCUCCAAGAGAAAAAAUCCAUGACAAGAAUAGCUGGGAGUUGAGUCACUGUGCCCAGAAGUUCUGCAAACAUGAUUCAGGAGAGAUGGAAACCAAGGCACAGAACUACUGUGACUUUCCCAGAACCUCAGACCUAGACUGGUUUGCACCUUGAACUUGAUUCCAGGAUAUGGAUUCAUGAAAUGUUAGUCAUCAUAUUUCAUACUGAGAAAGGUCCUGGAAGGAUCAUCCAGACCAACGAUUUUUAUUUCUCUGAGCAUAAAACUGAGACCUGUUUUAUGAUUUAUCUAAUAUCACAAACAGUUGGUGACAGAAGUAGGAAAUACAGCUGAGGCCAAAACUCAUUCUGAACAGCAAAUGAAAACAGAUACUUUUGGCCGGGCAUGGUGGCUCAUGCGUGUAAUCUCAGCACUUUGGGAGGCUGAGGCAGGCAGAUUACCUGAGAUUGAGAGUUUGAGACCAGCCUGACCAACAUGGAGAAACCCCGUCUCUGCUAAAAAUACAAAAAAAUUAGCCGGGCAUGGUGGUGCAUGCCUAUAAUCCCAGCUACUCAGGAGGCUGAGGCAGGAGAAUCGCUUGAACCCAGGAGGCAGAGGUUGCGGUGAGCCGAGAUCGUGCCAUUGCACUCCAGCCUGGGUAACAAGAGCGAAACUCCGUCUCAAAAAAAUAAAAAAAAAAGAAAGAAAGAAAACAGAUACUUUCAUCGAAUCCAUUAUGUGCCAGGCACUAUUCUAAGAGCUUCACAACAAGCCUAUGAAAUAGGUGCUACCACUCUUUACAGAUGAAGAACGGAUGCAAGUUCACACAAGCAGUGCAUUUCAGAGUUGAAAUCAGAAACUAUAUAGUUUAGAUCCAGAGACUUGCUGCACUUAAGGAACACACUGAACAAGGGAAGUUCUAGAAUUGGGCAGACCUGGACUUCUGUCCUUGGGCAUAUCACUUAAGUUCUCUGAAUCUUCUCUUACUCAUCUGUUAAAUGGCCAUAUUUCACAUGAGUGUAAAAUGGAGUAAAUUAGGUAAGUCCUAUAAAGCCCUGAGCAAAAAUUCUCAAUCAAUAUUAGUGUUGAAUUAAGUUUCACUUAAAGCUGCCUCCUUGCAUAUUUUAAGUUCACCCUGACAGUUUUUCUGUACAUAGUAAACUAUAACCUAACUGGAUGUGUAAACAGACUGUAACCUACUCCUGUGCCACUCACAGUUUUGGCCAAUCAAAGGUGGCCAACCAUUCAAACCAUGUUAAAAUAAGGCAAAUGCUGGGCUGUAACCAACACUUCCAUUUCUGUACCUCACUUCUGUUUUUUAUAGGUCAUUUUCCUUUUUCUGUCCAUAAAUCUUCUACCAGGCAGCUGCACCGGAGUCUCUCUGAGGCCACUCUGGCUCGGAAGUCUGCCUGAUUGGUGAAUAAUUCUUUGCUCAAUUAAACUCUACUAAAUUUAAUUUGUCUAAGGUUUUUCUUUUAACAUUAGCUACUGAUGUCACUAUUAAUAUUAGCUAGUGAUGACAACAGUUCUCCGGAAUCCACCCUAGUCCUGUGGUCAUUUUUAGAUUUCUGGUUCUCUGACCACUACAUUGCUAAUCCUCCUUCUAGUAAAUUUUCAUCUACCUUGAACUUCCUUACACACUAUUCCCCCUAAACGUUGUUCCAGUUGAGUGCCCAGCCAGAAAGAUUAAAGCUCUCCCUGCUGAAAUCUCCUUUCCCUCCAGCAGGAAACCAGUGUAGUUAUGUUGUUUGUACUUGCCAGGAUACACUUCCAUUUCAUAUUUGCAAGUACACAUAAAGGUAUCCUUCAUCAGCAGCACAGUGCUUCCUUUCCUCUGAAUCUGCCAUCAGCUCAGGCAGAUUUCUAAGCAGCAAAUCAGCCUUUGCCAGAACACUGCAGGACACCAGUGCAGCGCCCAGCCUGCGACCAUGAGGCAUUUUAAAAUCUGUGGCGCUUCCAGACUCAUAUCAACAUUCCCUGAUGGAAGCCUUUAGCAAUCCUAACCAGGAAGUGGCCAGAGCCUGGAGCCAGAGACGAACGUCCCUCAUAGGAGGGGUUGCUGGAGGAGGAGGGGCAAAUCUAUUUCAUUCUGUCCUUGCAGGCACAUUUUCAUCAGUUAAUGAUGCAAACCAGGCUGAAACGUUCUUAACAAGCAUGUGUGUUUCUGUUUUUCAUUUGAAAGUCAGGAGCAUGAGGCUAUAUUCAUCAUAGAGGCAGGGUUUCUCUGUGUCAGAGCUCAGCAUUGGCAGCUCUAGCAAAGGACAGGCUGCAUUUAGCUGGUUCUUUUCUAAGGAGCCACAGUCAGGCACUAAACCAGCAUCUACACCUCUGAGGCCCCUAAAAGCCUCCAGUGAAGCUGGGCUUGAUCAGACCUCAAAAAGAUCUCCCUUUGCAUUUUGCUCUUAGUUCUCAGUGAUCUUUAAAAAAUAAUAAUAAUAAAAAGAUUAGAAUCAUGAAAGAUUUUUCUCAGGAUAUGAAUACUAUAGGCACACUAAAGAAACUUUGGAAAAAUGCCAGCAAGUAUAAGCGAAAAAAAAUCAUACUGCCCCUUAUAUCACCCACUGAAAUUAAAAUAUUUAAACAUUAUGCUUCUGUGUACACCUGUAUACGCUAUAUGUCAGGCCUCUGAGCCCAAGCUAAGCCAUCAUAUACCCUGUGACCUGCACGUAUAAAUCCGGAUGACCUGAAGUAACUGAAGAAUCACAAAAGAAGUGAAAAUGGCCUGUCCCUGCCUUAACUGAUGACAUUACCUUGUGAAAUUCCUUCUCCCAGCUCUUCCUGGCUCAAAAGCUCCCCCACUGAGCACCUUGUGCCCCCCACCCCUGCCAGCCAGAGAACAUCCGCCUUUGACUGUAAUUUUCCACUAUCUACCCAAAUCUUAUAAAAACAGCCCAUCCCAUCUCCCUUCACUGACUCUCUUUUUGGACUCAGCUCGCCUGCACCCAGGUGAUUAAAAAGCUUUAUUGCUCACACAAAGCCUGUUUGGUGGUCUCUUCACAUGGACGCGAGUGACAUUUGGUGCCGUGACUCGGAUCGGGGAACCUCCCUUGGGAGAUCAAUCCCCUGUCCUCCUGCUCUUUGUUCCAAGAGAAAGAUCCACCUACGACCUCUGCUCCUCAGACCAACCAGCCCAAGGAACAUCUCACCAAUUUUAAAUCGGGCUCUAGGGGAUGGUAGAGUCACAGGAUGGAAGAACUCUGUGUCCUUGAAUCAUUGCAUGGAAGAGAACUGGAAGUUGCCCAGGAACACCAGCCUUGGACAGUU